GACUUGAUAGCGCACGGUGCGCACGUGCUUGCGAUUAUUGAUAUUGUGAGACACGUUUACGCUGGGAGUCCCCGUUCGACCCGGGGUCAAGUCA